rnacentral:rRNA from 1 species
UACGGAGGGUGCAAGCGUUAUCCUGAUUUACUGGGUUUAAAGGGUGCGUAGGUGGGCAGGUAAGUCAGUGGUGAAAUCUCCGGGCUUAACUCGGAAACUGCCAUUGAUACUAUCUGUCUUGAAUACCGUGGAGGUCAGCGGAAUAUGUCAUGUAGCGGUGAAAUGCUUAGAUAUGACAUAGAACACCAAUUGCGAAGGCAGCUGGCUACACGAAUAUUGACACUGAUGCACGAAAGCGUGGGGAUCAAACAGG